UUUUGAUUUAUAACGAACCGGCUAACAAGGUUUAUACACAAGGUGUUAUCUCUGCAGUAUUAAAUAUUAUUUCAGUUGGUAUUAUUGGGACAAUAUUAUUA
rnacentral:sRNA from 1 species